rnacentral:lncRNA from 1 species
UUUGAUGCCCCAUUUUAAGUUUUAUUUUGGAUUUUAGUCCCCUUUCUAUUUGGAACUAAUUUUUAAGGGGGCCAAAAGUAUAAAAAAAUUAAAGUAAGGGGACCAAGAUUCUGAAUAUUAAAAUAGAGGGAUCAAAAGUAAAAUAAAAAUAAAAAUAGGGAGACUCUUCUUGCUAAAAAUACUAAAAGGUUGACUUUCCUAUUAUCCGUCAGGGAGGGCAUAAAAUGAUUGGUUUAGGUUCCUAUUUAUGUCUUUUCUGAGGCCCCCCUUGCCUCAUUUCUUC